GCCUCGUUAGCGCAGUAGGCAGCGCGUCAGUCUCUUAAUCUGAAGUUCGUGAGUUCGAUCCUUACACGAGGCA
rnacentral:tRNA from 1 species